GGACUUGUAGUCUCCCUUCCGAGGGCACCUGAUUGGUUAGUAGAGGACAGCGCUCUGUGUGGCUCCUCGGUGGAGUCGGCUCCCAGCCUGAGAGAAGGGUACAUGAGCUGUGAUGGUGCCAAAUUUCUGUGCCCCUUCAAUGUGGAAUAUGUGGGCAUCAAAGAAGAUGUGGGGCCUUAUCUUCACCAAGAUGGGACCUUUGGGGGCUCCAGCAAGGAAAAGAGCUUCAUCUAUCUCUAGACCCCAGCGGCGAAGGGUUUUCAGCAUGCGGGCGCCUGAACUGGCUGCACUCCUAGCUGUAACCAGGUCCAGCAAAGCAAGUAUGAAGCCAUCAGAAUUGCCUUCUUUUCUCUCAAGUCUCAGGAUGUGCCUCCUUCCAAACCUUGAGCUGGACACAGUGGAUGUGGAUAUCUCUCAGUGCUCUACCUUACAGCAGAGAGGCAGGGAGCUGGCCUUUGGACUGAAACAAACUGGGCUGAAACCUUGUCCCUGCCAGAAUGUCCCCCAUGGACAGAUUGGCAUGACGGCUAGAGAGAAGACACCAUCCCUGCAUGCUUGGACCAUCGGCUCCCGUGACCUAGCACCAACUCACGACAAAGACUCUAAAAGUUUAUUUUAUCCUAUAUUGUGGUCACAAACAUUUGUUAUUUGAAAGGGCUUGUAAAUGCUUUUAAAAUGUCAACUCUGGAACAACAUGGGAAUUGUGAGCCUAACAUCCAAGCUGCUUUUAGAGAAUGGCUCCUGGGGGACACCUCAGGAUUAGACUGUGGACUUUGAGGUCUUCAGUUAAGGACAGUCCCCAGUUCCAGGGGAGACAGAGAAAGCCCAGCGGGCAUGGACACCCAUGGAGGGACCGAGAGGUGGGCAGCAGGAAACCCCGCAGAGGGGGUCUUGGUGGAGGGACCAGAUCAACAGAGCGGUUGAAGAGCUGUUUGCUGGGGGUGGUAUAAAUAUAGGGAAGAUGUAAGUGGUUUUCUUGGUGACAUGUGAGCAUUCCCAGAGAAGAGGAGGAAAAAGUGGCAGUAGUAGCCAUGUGUUUGUUAUCUGUGGGAGUGGUGGUGGUGGUUUUAACCUCAGAUUCCCAGCCUGCAGAGCCAGGCUUGUCUAAAGCACGUCAAUAACUGCACUCGCUCUCCUCUUCUUGAUAAGGCUGAUUUUACACCUCUGAUAGGCCCUGUUAGCCUCCCUCCAGCCCCCCAAAAUAUCAGGGAGACAUUUCGUGGAUACCUUUCUUCUUUAGAGGUGACUCUGAGAACUUCACCCACCAGCUGGAGGAUGUUGGCAAUAAAUGUUAGAGGGGACAGAGAAGGUUCCUAGAGGGUGAGGACAUUAGGCUUAGACUGUGCCACUAGCGUAAACUCUUUUCAGUUUAAUUCAACCAACACUCACUGCAUACCCACCCGUAUCCCCAGACCAUGCCAGCCUUAAGAUGAUUCUGACAUGAAUAACAAGAACAGUCUUUCCUUCCAUGCCUCCAUGCUCCGAAAAGUUCCUGGAACACCUGUCCUUCCAAGUAUCCUCACUUUCGAGAGGCAUCAGGCUGUGGCAGGAAGACCAUGGGCUUCGGAGGCAAAUCCGGAUUCUGCUACUACCUAGCAGCAUAACUGUGAGGAAGCUACCCCAGCACUCUGAGCCUCAGUGAUUACAUUUGCAAAAUGUGGAUGGGAUCUAUUUUAGAUCAUAGCUGUGAAGGUUAACUGUCGUGCAGAUAAAGCAACUGGCAACCUGCCAGGCUCAGAGUAGGUGCUCAAUCAACGGUACCUAUUAUUGUCGUCAGUUUCCCUGUGGGCCCCCAACCCUGCUUCUCACUGCUCUCGCUGUCCCUGAGACUGUCCUUGUCAUCAGGACUACCAUUAUUCCUGUUCCUUGUGCCCCCAUCCAAAGGUCCCCCAAUUACGGGAAUAGUUUCCCCAGUAAUUAUAGCUGUUCACAAGACUUUUCAAAGGCUAAUCUGGACUUUGGGGUAUUGUCAUCCUAUAAGAGAAAAACUUGAAACGAGUUACCAGGAAGCUACUCGAAAGGCAGUCAAGUGAAACUGCUUUGUUUCAUCUCAAGCAUAUUUCUUCCAAAAAUAGGGCCUCUGGAACGUAAUUCUCUUCCUGUUCAAAGCCAGUAUAUUAUUUACCUAAGAUUUUUUUCUCACUUUUUAUAUUUCUUGUCUAACUCCCAAUAAGCCUAGUACAAUGCCAAGCACAUAGUAAGCACUCAGGUACUUGAGGGAACAUGUAACAAACCUUACACCCUGGACAUACUUAAGAUAAAAUACAAAAUGAAACUAAGAAUUACUGAGAAUUCAUUUCUCUCUUUAUUUUCAUACAGCAGCCUGUUCAGAUGCCCUUACAAGCCCUUAACCACACUUUAUUUAGAUUGCCAAUUGGGAUUCGGCCUUUAAUAGUUGUUCCAGGAACAAAAUGAUAUAUUGUAACUUAGAAAAUGAAAAAAGUAAGAUAAAAUAUGAUGAAAUAUCUAAAGAUGAAGACAGCUCUGACAAUUCACCAACAUAAGGAUAUUUUUUUUUUUAUCAUUUGCCUGGAAAUGCAACUCAAUAUUAUAUUCAGUUUAUUUUAGAAUAGCUAUCUUUACCUGAGAGUCAAUACUCAAAUGUCACCAAAUUAUUAAUGUUUGAAAAUUAAUUUUUUCUCAAUCAAAUUUGCAUAAAUGAAGAGAAGUAACACACUGGACACCAAGUUAUAGAAUGUAGUCUGAGGCUUAUGUGGAAUUAUACUUGCUUUCAACUAUUACUGAAAUCUCUUUUCAAAGACCCUAAAGCAGACUUUAUCUCUUUUAUGUUUCAAGCGACCUCGAUUUCCAACCUUCAAGCCUCAGACACCUCCAUUUCUUCCAGAGGACUUAAAUCUGAAUAAAGACUCUAGCAGCAUGCAGUGUGCCCCAGUGUCCUUCUGGCUUAAACAGAAUAUUCCCUUUUCCCUGAUACUCUGACCCUCAGUGCUUGUGGGAGGUGCUAGACGUAGAAACACAAGUCAUCCUCAGGCUCUUUCCUUCUGCUUACUAUUUGGUCGGGGCAUCAAAUACUCACCAAACUAUAGUACAAUCGGCUGGUGACACGUACCAUAGAACAGGUUAUCACAGGUUCUCAAGAGGUACUGGGAUGAGAAAGGCCAAUCAUGGUUCAGGAAAGACCUCACAGGAUAGAAGACAUUUGAGAAGGCUUCAGGUGAGAGUUUGAUUGGCCAAAGAGGUGUGCAGAUAUUUCCAGGCUUAGGGGUCCGCGUGAUGUGAAACCGCAUAGUCUGUUCUAGGAUGCGGCAAGUGGUCCUUAUAAUGAAAGAACACAGGAAGUUUGCAGAGAAGUUAAUGGGAUGAGCCUACAAAGCAUCACUGAAGAGGCUUGAAAGCCUUGAACGUGUAAUAACGAGGUUGUCUUUUUCUUAUAAGCAGCAGGAAAUUAAUCAAUAGGUUUUAAGCAAGACAGCGGACAUAAGGAAUGUGUAAUUGAGAAGGGCAUUUUGUAGAGGCUAACAACGAUUGUCGAGGAUGAAAUGAGAGAGCAUUUGGAUGGGACAAGUAGAAGAAAGAUUCUUAGAUAAUGCAGCUUUGAGCUUGCUCUGGAAGGAAGAUAAAAAGGUUGAAUUCAAGAGAAAGGAGGGAUCGGGGAAGGGAAGUUUUGCUGUAGCAGGAAUAAUAAUCACAGCUAGCAUUUUAAGUGGCUACUCUGUGCCAGCACUUUGCGAUCUCAGCGCAUGCCCUGUGCAAGCCUAGGGCGUGGGAGUGUGCAAUCUGUGCCCCAAGUUCCCAGUUUGCAUACCUGGCUCAUGGAGGUCCAUACAAUUAUCACAAGAAAUUACCAAAGGAAAACCUCUUCCAGAACUGCGGGAGAAAUCAUCUUCAAAACGACCUUAAGAACCAUCCAAGACAGCACAGAGCCUUCCUUCAUAGUCAUUCCGGGCUUUCGAGCACAACAAGCAAAGGAGCAAACGUGAGAGCUCUUCAUUUCGCUUUUGACUGCAGAGCUGGAGAAAGUGCACUGCUGGCCAAAGCUUGAUAAUCCAGGCACUGUCAUUUGAGGCUCUUCAUUCCCUGGACUUUCAUAUCCUGACACCAUGAAAAGCAUGCUCUCACACACGUCCACUGAGGCCAGAGGGAGCUGUUUCUGUGAGGCCAUGAGACAGGGAGAAACAGGGAAUAAACCGUACUUCUAAAUUCCUGGGUCAUGUUGUGAAACACCUUUUUAUUGGGGGUAGUAAUCUGACUUCAUUCCCUUAUAAAAGUGGAUUUAUGUGAUGGAUACGUGAUAUAUAUUUUUCUGCCACUGUUCUUGUGGGAUAGUGGUUGUAUCAGUUAGGAUUAGAUUCAACUGUGAGUAACAUAAACCCGAAAUAACAGUGGCUUAAACCUGAUAAAAGUUUUUCCUUGUUCAUGUAGAAGACGGGCUGUAGCCGUCCGGGGCUGGGAUGCUGGCUCAGUUCCAUGAAGCCUUCCUCGCAAUCCCUGCCCCUGUACAGCUGAGGGUGUGGCCCUCAGCUUCAUGGUCCAAGUGGGUAUAUUGUCAUCUCAAGAACAUUCGUAUGAACCGUCCAAAAGAGCUCAUCUGCCUCCUUUAUAAGCUUCUGAUCACAACAGAGGGCCUCAGUUCAACUGCAGACAGGAGAUUUGGGGCUCUGGGGGGUGAGACCAACACAGGCUUGAGUCUGGCUGUGUGUGCCUACCGGAUGUGCACAUGUGAACAAAUUCCUUAACCUCUAUGAGGUUAUGUAUCAUGUAUGUAUGUUUUCUCAUAUGCACAAUGGAAAGUAUAUCUCUUAGAGCAGUGUGAGUAUAAAAGAAGAUAUAACAUAUGUAAAAGAACUGGCCCACUGAUCAGCAUGAUAACAGAUACCAUUCUACAGAGCUUUUAAAUUUCUUGCUGAGAGGUUUUUCUGUUUUCGAAGAAAACUAAUCCCAUGUUUAGAGACUGGUGAUUUUGUCCUAGUGAGACCGUCCCCCAAAGUGGGCUGCAUGUCCUUUACAAGCCCUUCUCCCAACUAGAGAAGAAAGCGAACUCGAAGUGGGCAACCCCACUGGUCAUUCUACCUCCAAUGAAACAGGUUUCACUCCCCCUGUACUUUUCCUCUGCAGGGGAUACUGUGGAUUAGUGGUAAAUAUCCAUUUCCCAUUCCCUUCCAUUGCCGUAUGUUUUUAACCUGCAAGCUGAGAGAUCCAUUGGUGGGUUGUGAAAUCAAUUUAGUGGGUCAUGACUAGCACAUUUUAAUGAAAGGAUAAAAUAGAAUAGGUUAGGGAAAAUCAGCGUGCAUCACAAAUAAUUAAUAUGUAUUUUCAUGAAAUGGAUUUCAUAUAUGUGGGUGUGUUCAUGUAUGUGUAUUCUAUGUUAUAAAGUAAAAAAUAUUUCUUAAAAUGGGUUGUGAAUCCUGAAAAGGAAGAAUAACAUAGGAGGAAUCACUCUACCGGACAUUAAAGCUUACUAUGUAGAUACAGUAAUUAAUACAGCAUGGUAUUUGCAGAGAGUUAGAUACAUAUAUCAGUGGAACAAAAUAGAGACUCCUGAAACAGACCUCCAUAAGUGUGCCCAACCGAUUUUUUUAUAAAAGUGGGGAAGCAAUUCAAAUGGAGGAAAAUCCAAUUGGCCUUUUCAAUUCAAAUGACCUUUUUAAAAAAUGGCCCAAGAAGCUUGUCAUCACAUCAACAUUCUAAGCAGCAGCAAGAAGACACGAGAAGCUACCACGCGUGCCCACUGUCUUUUAAGAAAAAUAUCUAGGAGCUUCCCUUGGGUCUUCAUCUAUGCCCCACUGGCCAGAACUUAGUCACAUGGCCACACCAACUGUAAGGAAACUCGAGAAAUGUCAUCUUCAUCCUGAGCAUCACACAGCCAGUUAACAUUUCUAUUAUUCUGUAGAAGUAGAGAAAAAUAGAUAUUGGUCAGCAAUUUACUAUCUAUCUGUGCCACACAGACAUUGCGCAAGUAUGGAAUUCCAUCUCUCUUGGGCAUCAAAAUGAAAUUUCCACAACACAUAUUUGACCUCUGAUUAAAAACCUCAGAUGUCUCCUUAACGCACAAAGUCCAAACUCCUUCAUAAGGAUAUUUAGGUUCUUGAACAUUUGGCCCAAGCCCAGAUUUCCAUCCAUUCUCUGCGCACCACAUUCUCCCAAAUGCUAAGACUCUACCACCUCAGUGUCCCUGCUCAAACUCUCCCCUCACCCAGGUUGUACCCCUGCAGCCACUCCCUCCUGUAUCUGGCAAACAAUGCCUCAUCCUUGUAGACCUAGUGAAGUCGUCAUUUCCUCUCACCGAUGCCCUUCCUGUGACUCCUCCAGCCCAGCAGAAGUAACUGUUCCCUUCUCUAAGCUUUCAUUAACCUGCAUGUAUGUCUAUCAUGGCACUUAACCUCAUGUCUUAACUGAGACUUAUCUGGUUUUUAUUGUUGUUUUGGUUUCGUUUUGCUUUGUUUUUGCUAGGGACUGGAAGCCCCACCAAUACAGGGCCUAUUUUCCUGAUACUCUGUUUUCACAGAUCUUGGAAUCUCUCCACAACCUUAAAAUUAUUUGUUGAAUUACUGAGAGGUUUCUCAGGGCCAAAAAGUAGAAAGAAAGAAAAAGUAUCUAUAUACAACAGGGUGCGUUUUGAAUGCAGAAAGCUGGUAUUUCACAGGUUCAGUUGUGAAGAAAUAACCUGUGCUUAGAGAGUGGCAUGGACAUAUAUACACUACCAAAUGUAAAAUAGCUAGCUAGUGGGA